rnacentral:rRNA from 1 species
AGAGCGAACGCUGGCGGCAGGCCUAACACAUGCAAGUCGAGCGCCCCGCAAGGGGAGCGGCAGACGGGAGAGUAACACGUGGGAACGUACCCUUCAGUUCGGAACAACCCAGGGAAACUUGGGCUAAUACCGAAUACGUCCGUAAGGAGAAAGAUUUAUCGCUGAAGGAUCGGCCCGCGUCUGAUUAGCUUGUUGGUGAGGUAACGGCUCACCAAGGCGACGAUCAGUAGCUGGUCUGAGAGGAUGAUCAGCCUCACUGGGACUGAGACACGGCCCAGACUCCUACGGGAGGCAGCAGUGGGGAAUAUUGGACAAUGGGCGCAAGCCUGAUCCAGCCAUGCCGCGUGAGUGAUGAAGGCCCUAGGGUUGUAAAGCUCUUUUGUGCGGGAAGAUAAUGACGGUACCGCAAGAAUAAGCCCGGCUAACUUCGUGCCAGCAGCCGC